GUAGCGCAAUUAAUCGUCAAUUAAUUGUUGACCAGUAUGAAUGGCGUCACGAGUGCUUGACUGUCUGAAAACAAGGCCCAAUGAAAUUGAACUCGUAGUUCAGAUGCUACGAAAUUUUGUAAGACAAGAAGACCCUAUUAAGCUUUACUGAAAACUUAUACUGUCAUAAUGAGUAGUGGGAAGUGAGAAUUAAAACACAAAUUAUAUAUUUUGAAAGACAGAAUCGCAAAAGAAACUUAAUUAGUAUGUUGGACAGUUUGGUUGGGGCGACUCCCUAAGAAAUGAUAACUAAGGGGCACUAAGGUAAUAAAGCCUGACUGUAAGAGGGCACUCAAACAGACACGGAAGUGGGUAAAGCGAACCGUUAAUAAAAGUGAAAUAGUUAACGAUAAACGAAUAAAAGUUACCGUAGGGAUAUCAG
rnacentral:rRNA from 1 species